rnacentral:rRNA from 1 species
AUGUCGGGGCCCGUCGACCGGUCCGGGAGGCCCGGUUUUGAGGGCUUCACUCAUGAUGAUGAGAAUGAAGAGAGCAAAUCCGAUGAAGAUAACUCCGAAGGUGACAACAAGGCCAAAAAGGGGUCCUUCAAGAAAAGAGCGAUUAGUGCCGGAAAUAAAUUUAGGCGUUCCUUGAGGAGGAAGAGCAAAAAGAAGAGUGGCAAUCUAGCCUCAAUAGAGGAUAUAAGGGAUGUGCAAGAGCUGGAAACUGUUGAAAGAUUCCGCCGAUGCUUGCUUGAUGGGGGCUUGUUGCCCGAACGUCAUGACGAUUAUCACACGAUGUUGAGGUUCCUGAAAGCAAGAAAGUUUGAUAUUGAGAAAGCAAAGCAUAUGUGGUCAGAAAUGCUUAGAUGGAGGAAUGAGUAUGGGGUCGACAGUAUAGAGGAAUUCGACUACACUGAAUUAAAUGAAGUUAAGAAGUAUUAUCCACAAUUUUACCAUGGAGUGGAUAAAGAGGGAAGGCCUGUCUAUGUAGAACUAGUUGGAAAGGUUGAUGCCAAUAAACUAGUCAAAGUAACAACUCUUGACCGAUACAUAAAGUAUCAUGUGAAGGAGUUCGAGAGAAGUUUCCAGAUGAGGUUUCCAGCUUGUUCCAUAGCUGCAAAAAGGCACAUAGACUCGUCUACAACUAUUUUAGAUGUGCAAGGGGUGGGCUUAAAGAACUUCUCAAAAGAUGCAAGGGAACUAAUCAUGCGACUGCAGAAGAUUGACAAUGAUAACUAUCCAGAGACAUUGUGCCGCUUGUACAUUAUAAAUGCUGGGCAGGGCUUCAAGAUGUUAUGGGGUACAAUUAAAUCAUUUCUUGAUCCACAGACUGCUUCGAAGAUUCAUGUUCUUGGAAGCAAGUACCAAAAUAAGCUGCUUGAAAUAAUUGAUGAAAGUGAACUACCAGAUUUUCUUGGAGGCAAAUGCAGGUGUGAAGAGAGUGGAGGUUGCUCAAAAUCAGACAAAGGUCCUUGGAAGGAUCCUAACAUAAUAGAGAGGGUCCUUAACGGUGAAGCAAAUUAUGGUCAACAAAUUCUUGCCAUAUCAAGCACUGAUGGGAAGACAGUUUCUUAUACUAAGCUUCAUUCCUCAGCUAAAAAAACCAGUGAUGCCUCAGCCGAAUCUACAUCUGAUGUAGAAGAUAUUACGUCUCCUGCUGCUCCACUGGAUGCCACUGUGAACCCUGAUUUGACCCUUCAUGAGCCAAAAUCUUCAGGACAUGCUUCAACUUCUGGUACUGCUACUGUCCUAGAGGAAAGCGUCCCCACUGUUGUUGACAAGCUUGUGGAUGAUGUGUGCAACAGUCCAAAAGCCACUUCAAUGGCUUCUACCUCAGGUUCAUUCUCCUUGAGAAAUAUACGUAUGGCAUUGGGAGUGCUACGAACUCAGAUUGUUACUUGUCUGACAGUUUUAAUUAUGAGCCUUUUUAUGGUGAUCCGUUCUGCCCCAAGCAGAGUAUCUGAAAGGUUCUCAAGACAGUCCAUUGGCUGUGAUCACAAUUGUGGGGAAUUUCCCCAAAAUUUGGAGUUUAAGGUACCGUAUGUAUUAAGACGGCUUCGUGAACUGGAGGAGAAGGUGGUUGUACUUGAAACAAAGCCAUCUCAAAUGCCAGUUGAGAAAGAGGAACUGCUCAAUACAGCUGUGUGCCGUGUCGAUGCAUUGGAAGCUGAGCUGAUUUCUACAAAGAAGGUGCUCUACGAGACAUUGAUAAGGCAGGACGAGCUGCUUGCAUAUAUUGAAAAACAGGACAAAAACAAAUUCCGGGUAUGUUUUCCCCUAUUGUUUGUUCGUCCUCUUUUAAGCUGGCGCGUUCUUGGUGCUUAG